GCUAGCUACAGGCUUAACACAUGCAAGUCGAGGGGCAGCAUUUUAGUUUGCUUGCAAACUAAAGAUGGCGACCGGCGCACGGGUGAGUAACACGUAUCCAACCUGCCGAUAACUCGGGGAUAGCCUUUCGAAAGAAAGAUUAAUAUCCGAUAGUAUAUUAAAACCGCAUGGUUUUACUAUUAAAGAAUUUCGGUUAUCGAUGGGGAUGCGUUCCAUUAGUUUGUUGGCGGGGCAACGGCCCACCAAGACUACGAUGGAUAGGGGUUCUGAGAGGAAGGUCCCCCACAUUGGAACUGAGACACGGUCCAAACUCCUACGGGAGGCAGCAGUGAGGAAUAUUGGUCAAUGGACGAGAGUCUGAACCAGCCAAGUAGCGUGAAGGAUGACUGCCCUAUGGGUUGUAAACUUCUUUUAUAUGGGAAUAAAGUAUUCCACGUGUGGGAUUUUGUAUGUACCAUAUGAAUAAGGAUCGGCUAACUCCGUGCCAGCAGCCGCGGUAAUACGGAGGAUCCGAGCGUUAUCCGGAUUUAUUGGGUUUAAAGGGAGCGUAGGUGGAUUGUUAAGUCAGUUGUGAAAGUUUGCGGCUCAACCGUAAAAUUGCAGUUGAAACUGGCAGUCUUGAGUACAGUAGAGGUGGGCGGAAUUCGUGGUGUAGCGGUGAAAUGCUUAGAUAUCACGAAGAACUCCGAUUGCGAAGGCAGCUCACUAGACUGCAACUGACACUGAU
rnacentral:rRNA from 1 species